rnacentral:rRNA from 1 species
GGGAGGUAGUGACAAUAAAUAACAAUACGGGGUUCUUUCGGAUCUCGUAAUUGGAAUGAGUACAAUUUAAAUCUCUUAACGAGGAACAAUUGGAGGGCAAGUCUGGUGCCAGCAGCCGCGGUAAUUCCAGCUCCAAUAGCGUAUAUUAAAGUUGUUGCAGUUAAAAAGCUCGUAGUUGAAUUUCGGGGUUAGUAAGUUGGUCAUGCCUCCGGUAUGCACUGGCUUUACUGAUUCCUCCUUCUUGAUGAACUGUAAUGUCAUUAAUUUGGUGUUGCAGGGAAUCAGGACUGUUACUUUGAAAAAUUAGAGUGUUUAAAGCAGGCAUACGCUUGAAUACAUUAGCAUGGAAUAAUGAAAUAGGACGUUUGAUCCUAUUUUGUUGGUUUCUAGGAUUGACGUAAUGAUUAAUAGGGAUAGUUGGG